rnacentral:lncRNA from 1 species
UAAUUUUUUUUUUCUUUUUGCUUUUUUAGGGCCGCGCCCACAGCAUGUGGAGGUUCCCAGGCUAGGGGUCAAAUCAGAGCUACAGCUGCCGGCCUACACCACAGUCACAGCCACACCAGAUCCGAGCUGCGUUUGCAACCUACACCACAGUUCACGGCAAUGCCAGAAUCCUUAACCCACUGAGCAAGGCUAGGGAUCAAACUCACAACCUCGUGGUUCCUAGUAGGAUUUGUUUCUGCUGCGCCACAACGGGAACUCCUGGAAUCCAAGAUUCUGAUUUCAAUAAAGGGGUUGCUCCCUCUACACUUCAUCAGAAAGCUUCUUGUGGUAACUAAUUAGAGGCAUUGUGCCCAGCGCUAGGAGGUACCAUGAUCUUCAAGACUCCCGUGGACUUUGUGGCAUCGUGGUAGCCAGUGGUCUUGGGUGGUCUGGGUCCCCAGGGGACGAAGAGGCCAGUGAUGUACAGAGAUGGCUCUUGUUCCCAGGCUGGCUUUAUAUGUGGUCUGAAUGGCAGGACAGAGUCCUAGGUUCAACACCGCUAUAUCAUGAGGCCAACCUGGAGCCUUAUGUGCAUGGGCCAGCUCUCAGCUCUAAGCCCAUUUUCCGGAAGCUUCUGCCCUUGAAUAACUUGUGGUUUACUGGGGUAGGCAGGGUACCACCAGCACUCUAGUUACAGAUAUAAUAUAAAUAUCUGAGUACAUGGUUGUACAGAAAGACACAGAGGAGUGUGGGAGCAAAUACAGUGUGUGAACCAGCGGGUGGGGGUGGCGGGCUGGCGUGGGAAGACCCCCAGGAGGAGGCAAACUUGAAAUGAAAUUUUGAAAGAAUAGAGAAGUAGUUGAAUUACCGGGGAGGGGACAGGGUAUUAUAACUGGGGACUUGGUGUGUGUGGAGGCUUUGAGGUGGCCUUGGAGCGCCCCUAAUAAGUACCAGGCUCAGAAAGCUUAACCACGCAGGCCCACGCCCAUCCGUGAAAUCAACUGUACACAGAAUAUGAAACAACUGAUUAUGCAAAGCAACGUCAGUCCAAACACCUUGUUUAACUACAUAUUUCCUCUCCAAGUGACACUUUCUCCUGUUAUUUCAUUUAGUCAUGCAUUCAUUUAUUCGACAAGUAAAAAAUUAUGCCCCUACUGGGUACCCAGGACCUCAUUCAGAACUCCCUCUGUGUCUCCCCGUCCAUUAAAGGCAGGUGCAACCUGCCUACCUCAGAGGACGAUCACGUGGAAGUAAGUUCUAGCAAGGUCCCUGGGUGAGUUAUUUUAAUUAAAGCCCCAGGAACCAAGGAGAAAAUUAGCACAGUGGGAUCAAAUUCAAGCACCACUCAAUACUUGAGGGUAUUUAUAGAAAAGCAAACACAAAAACAAGAAAAAAAUCCAAUAUCCUGACUGGUUGCCUUUUGUUUUCUCGGUAUAAAUUGGUGCCUGUUCUCCUAGCUGAAGAGCACCAAAGCUGUCCGUUUUGACCUUCUGUGGAUGAUGAAAGCCAAGACUGGACCACAUGGGCAGAGGCACUGCUACCUCGCUUAGUGCCUGAGAAUAUGCCACGUGCCUUCCUGGGACCUGCCCAGAAGAAGGGAGAGUCAGGAGGAGGGCGAGAAAGAUACUACCCAGAAAAGGAGUCAAAGGUCUUGACUUUGAGAACUAGACAGAAGUUGGGGAGGAGAGAAAGCAGGUUUCCCUCUGAAUUGUCAAUCCAUAGAAGCUGGUUCAAAGGGGAAGUCACAGCUCUUAGAGGCUCUCGCUACUCAAAGCGCUGUCUGGAGACCAAGGCAGGGGCAUCUUCUGGGACCUGGUGAGACAUGUAGCAUAUGUGGCAUCUUGGUCCCACCCUGAGCCCACUAAGGCAGAAUCUACAUUUUCACAGGAUCUGGGUGAUUCACAGUCUUAGAACUCUUACAGCCUCAGUUUUGCCAUCUAUAAAAUAGGGAUGAUAAUAUGGCCGAUCAAUUGAGGCUUAAAUAAAAUACUUUCCAUACAGAGAUUUGGCUUAAAAUUUGGGUGCUCUCUCCUUCCUCUUUGCAGGUGCCUGGCUCUGUGCAAACUUCUCUUGGUUUUCACUCCGGACACCAAAGGAACAAGUGGUCAUUAGUCCCACCCCAUCUCCAUCUACCAAGGAGGCCACAGAGGUCCAAGUGGAACAGAUGACUUGUUGUAGAUAUGCCCUAGCUUAGGAGCUUCUCAAGAGUAAGGCCUGUAUCUUAUUCAUCGCUGUUUCUCCGGCUCUUGGCAUGGUGUCUGCAAAAUCCCAGUUUCAAUAACACAUAGAUAUACCUGCAAGUGAACUUGACUUCCCGAGUUCACUCUUUCUGACACUUUCCAAAGAACUGACACCCGGCUGAUAGUCAAGGCCACGGGUUCCCACUGCACAGGACAGCUCUCUGAAUUAAACAUCACUGCUAUUCUCAGUGUCAGGAAACAGGCAAACUUGAGUGCCUGGAGAGAAGGAAUAACCCCCCAGCAGCCAGUGUGCCUGACUUAGCUGGGCAGAAGGGACCCCACCUAGUGAAGCUUCUAAGUCUGCAGAGAUGGUCAAGCUUGGGACAAGGAGCAGCUGAGCCAAAAUGCUAGUGGGUGCUACCCGGUGCUAGUAAAAAUGUCCACAUGGGAUCAACCAUCCAGAGGGGUGUGAGCCUCUUGGCAGCAGGGCUGGGCACGCAGAGGCCAGUGGUUCCCAGGAAUGAAUGCUCUAUGUGAAUCAUUUAUCCAUCAUUCUCUCCAUGGGGGUCUAGCUUCCUGGCCCACCUGCCUAUCCAUGUUGGGAGCACUCAGUCCUUGGUGACAGGUACAGUUGGAGGGAAUUCUUAAUUUUGGCAUAUCCCACACUCCAAACACGGGUGUCUGUUGAGCGCUAAAGAACACGCAGUAGACAUUGUGCAUUAUUUCCAAGUUCCCUGCCCUUAGACUGUGGAUUCAUCAGGUCAUUCCUCUCUGCCUGGGUCUUCUGGAACCCUUCAUAGCCUCCUGACAUGGGCAAGUCACCGUCUCCAUGUAUAUGAGAAUGGUGACAUUUCUACCUAAUUGAAUUUUUUUUUCCAAAUUUUCUAAGUAAUUGUUUUAAGAGCUCAUACAUAUACAUGGGAAAGAAAAUGAAGAUUACAGGCAUGGACAAGAAAGGUUCCUUCCUUUCUAAACUUACCCUUUUCCUUCUCCAGAGACAACUGCUGUUCCCAGCAUGAGAUGUACCUUGCAGAGACAGCCAAUACAUAUACACAUCUGCUAGAAAUGGAUGACACCCAAGGGCAAGGAUUUCUGUUUUCACUGUUCACUUUUUCGUCCCCAGCACUGAAAAGAACAACUGGCAUAGCUGCCCAAUAGUUGAGUGAAUGAAUGAAUGAAUGUAUAAAUCAGAUGUAUUCCUAAAAAAAAAAAAAAUCACAUUUUGGUAAAUCAAGUCCUGAUCUUCCUUUAUCUUCUGAUGGAUGCACCUUCAGUGGGCAGCGGCUCUGUCCUCAACCAAGAAAAGAGGAUAACUGUUGUUACAUGCCUUUCAGGGUUGCCAUGGAGCCAAUGGGAGCAUGUGGAAGGAUUGGUCCAUGGUGGUCCCAUGGCUCCCUGUUCUCCCAACCCUCUCCAACUGAUACAACACACCACUAUGCUUACUGGUCUAUGCCUUGCCUCCUUCUGCACAGAUACCCUACAGCAGGGACCGUCUUCAUUAAUUCUAUACUCCCAGGGCUUAGCAUCACUUAGAUGAGUAAAUAAAUGAUGCUUCCAAGGAGGGAAACUGAGGACAAAGGGGAGAUAGGAGAGUCAGAGACAAACACGCACACCUUCACAGGCCCCCACAAGGUCACACUGAAGGUUUCUAAUAAAGGAGGAAGAUGAAAGCCCCUGUGUUAGCAGCUUGAAUAAGACAGCGAAUGCUCUUGAUUGUGAAAAUGUGAAGGUUUCAAUGAAGCUAGGUAAUAUGGAAAAUCAAUAAAACUGUCAGCACUGGCCAAUUUCAACUAGAUAAAAGAAUAAAGUAAUUGGCCCUGAAAGACAACUCUCUAAAUUAGGUUAAAUAAAUGGAAAUACCCUUUUGUUUUAAGCCAAAUCGCAAGGACAUCAACAACAGUAAAUGAUCAAAUUAUGAGCCACUUUGACCCAGUAUGACCUGAGCUGCAAGCAUGAAUUUCCCAAAACAAUAUUCUUUACAAGACACAGAAAUGAUGUAUUUGCAAGACAACAGAGACAGAAUUGGAGGCCACGCCAGGAAUCACAGAGCUCACUUCCUAACUAAGGAUCUCUUAGAAACCCACCCUGACUAUAUGCGUGUUUCUUCAACAUGAUGAUUCCUCCUUCAAUCACUUCAUUAGGAAAUCGGCUCACAAACCAAUAGAAAAUGCGCAUCUAUGCUCCCACGAUGGCAGAGGGGAAGGAGGCUUCGGUAGUGAUCCUAAAGGGCACUGCUCUCCAAACACUUAGGAUUCAAUUCUGUUUUUCAUCUGCUAAUGGUUGGCAUUUGGUGUUGUUAACUGUGGAUGAUUCAUUUCAGAGGAACUGCUGUGCUUCUAGAGCCUGUUUGGAAGGAAAUGAGGGUUUCUUGGCUUAUUUCUCAUCAAGCAUUUUAGCCAUAUCUCUUUGUGACAUUAAAAAGCCCUUGAUGGGGAGGGGGUGGUGCUCACUGCUUUUCAAACUGACUCCCCCUGUCUCAUCUGGUGCAUAUGGCCACUUCUAGGAACAAGCACUGAUUCCAGCACGACAAAGGAUAGAGCUCCAAAUCUGGAAAAUAAGGGGCCCCUCCCUGAGCCUGUGUAUCAGUGUCACGUAGUUAUGCUGGGCAGGGGGAAUGCUAAGCUGGUUAUAUGUUGCAAGAUCAACGUUUUUGAACAUCUGGCUUUUGUUAUUUUUACUCUUAUCAGAUGCUUAGACUAUUUCUGUUCUCCACAUGCUACUGGAGAAUCCGGCUUGUCCAUGAAUGUCUGGGGACCUUGUGGGGUGAGCAGGACCAUGAUCUUAUGGCCUUGAGGUGCCUCACAGCUGAUGGAGGGAGUCCCUUCAGCUCCUUGGAGCAGGUGCCUGACUUUGAAGUCACCUAUUUGGGAGGGUAAGCACUUCCCUUACCAUCUCAAGCAAUGUUUCCCAUUAGAGACAGAAUAGAAGUUGCAAAGGGUAGGAGUGUCAGGGCUUGCUGCAGGGCCACCAGCUAGACAGGCUGGGGAGGCGGAGAAUGCCGAGGGUGGUACAAUGCUUCCCAAGGGGUUCCAUGAGACUGCCAAGGGAGCGACGAGAAAAUGUGCCCAAAAGGCUCUAAUGGGAUGCCUGUACCCAGGCUUGACUUUCUCAUAACCUAAGCCCCAUGCUUAUAAAAUGUGCUCUACUUAAUGUCCCAGCCUAGACCAGACUUGGCCUAGAACAUCCCUCCUCCUUGGGGGCCAAGGUGCAUGAGAGGCCUUGACCAUGAAGACACAUCCAAAAAGAACUUCAAACACGGCUUAAUCAUUUCAGUGUUUCAUUGUUGUGUUUGAAAAUUUCUGUUUGCGACACUGAUGACUGUCUUGGUUUGGAAGUUCCCUGAGCACACACAUUGCAUCUGUUUAAUUUAUCAUGUCUAUCCAACCUUACCUAAAAAUAAGAGCUUCAAAGCUGGUCUUUGAUAAUGAUGACAUAAUCCCCCUUACUAAGAAUGGUGUCUCCACUUCUUCCCUAUUAAUCUAGUCUAUCUAAAUGUUUCCUUUUCAGCCCACGCCCUGCCUCUUUCUUGAUUUCCCUGGGUUAUUCUAGCUUCAACUUAUUUCCAUUUGGAGAACUCUUGGCAACACCCAAUUAGGCACUCGAUGUGAUGUUACUUUGCAUUGGUCGCUAACGCUUCUGAACUGUAGGUAAGUCUUGGAUUCCUAAUUGAAUCGCGAGCUCCUUGAAUUCAAGGGCCAUGUGUUCUUGAAAAUGCCAUCUCUCAUGUUCUGCUUCCCAUGCCCCAAAUUCAGCAUGAGCACCAAAAAUGGACACAUUUGUUCAAGUGCAUUGGUAACUACUAUUCAUUUGAAUGAAUGAUUCUUCGUAAUCACCUGAUCAUCAGAAGGUGUCGGGUUAAAUAAUGGCAAAAUUUCUAGGGAGUUCCCGUUGCGACACAGCAGAAACGAAUCCAGCUAGGAACCAUGAGGUUGCAGGUUUGAUCCCUGGCCUCGCUCAGUGGGUUAAGGAUCUGGUGUUGCCGUGAGCUGUGGUGUAGGUCGCAGACUUGGUUUGGAUCCCACAUUGCUGUGGCUGUGGCGUAGGCUGGCUGAUUAGACCUCUAGACUGGGAACCUCCAUAUGCUGCAGGUGUGGCCCUAGAAAAGAUAAUAGUAAUAAUAAUAAUAAUAAUAAUUGC